rnacentral:misc_RNA from 1 species
AACGCAAAUGGCACUCUAUGGUAUUCCGUAGAGUACGUCUGUUUGAGCGUCGCGAACAUCUCCAUAAUUAGUUUUUUUUUUAAAUUGAUUGUGGGUUUUGAGGUUGUCAUAUAAACAAUGACUCCCUUUAAAAUAAUUAGUGAUGACCUUAUGAAUGGGUUAAUACUGUGUGUUAUAAUGGAUUACAUCCAUCACCAGUCAGAGAGUAAUCUCGCCUUAGUAAUUUGUAGUGAUUGCUUCUAACUGCCAUUGGCAAACAAACUGAUCAAAUCGACCUCAAAUCAGAUGGGAUUACCCGCUGAACUUAA